ACAUUUCCCCAGUAAAUAAACCACAUGUAGGGAAGCGGUAACGCGAGAUAGUACUCCGCGGUAGCUACAUACUUACUGGAACACUAUGUCUGCAGGACGCCGAAAUAAAGCGACCACUCUCUUCCGUAGUCUGUAAGAAAUAAUGUCAUCUCCAGAAAAUGGUUCUUCUGAACAGGAGUCCACUAGGAGGAAUCCUUCCUCCAAAUGGAAACACUUGGAUUGUUAUGAAUGUCUUAUGCCCCUGGAAGGGUGGAUAAACCAACAUGCAGGAUAUAUUUAUAUGGGUGAAAGAUUUUGUCCAGAGUUCAGUUUCCCAGCUGGAUAGGUCCAGAAAUGGAUUAGACACCAUUCUCCUUUUAGGCCUAUGGAGGUUCCCAUUCAGCAUCCUCUUCGGACAAAGAAGCUUGUAAGGCAAACUGUUAGGCAGCUACUGACAGUUAUGCUAUGCUGUAGUGCAUAUAUCAUUUAACAGGAUCGCCGUCGCAAGCAG